rnacentral:rRNA from 1 species
GACGAACGCUGGCGGCGUGCUUAACACAUGCAAGUCGAACGGAAAGGCCCUGCUUUUGUGGGGUGCUCGAGUGGCGAACGGGUGAGUAACACGUGAGUAACCUGCCCUUGACUUUGGGAUAACUUCAGGAAACUGGGGCUAAUAACGGAUAGGAGCUCCUGCUGCAUGGUGGGGGUUGGAAAGUUUCGGCGGUUGGGGAUGGACUCGCGGCUUAUCAGCUUGUUGGUGGGGUAGUGGCUUACCAAGGCUUUGACGGGUAGCCGGCCUGAGAGGGUGACCGGCCACAUUGGGACUGAGAUACGGCCCAGACUCCUACGGGAGGCAGCAGUGGGGAAUAUUGCACAAUGGGCGGAAGCCUGAUGCAGCAACGCCGCGUGCGGGAUGACGGCCUUCGGGUUGUAAACCACUUUCGCCUGUGACGAAGCGUGAGUGACGGUAAUGGGUAAAGAAGCACCGGCUAACUACGUG